AGUGACCACAGGCAUGUACUACUGUGCUUGGCUAAUCUUUGUAUUUUUUGUAGAGACAGGGCUUUGCCAUGUUGUCCAGGUUGGUGUUGAACACCUGGGCUCAAGCGAUCUGCCCACCAUGGCAGGAUGUUUCUUAAACCUCGAUUUUCUGUAAAAUGGGACUAAGACCCAUGAGAUUAUUGGAGAAACAGAGAGAUCUUUCUCCACCAUAUAUCCCUGAAGUCCAAUAUGAUCUUUGUCACAUAGUAGGUACUCAGUAAAUGCUAGUUGAGAUUUAUUCCUCAUUUCUCUAUGUCUUGUCUAUGGGGUAUAAGAAUGUGUUUUCGUGUUUGUGUGUGUGUGUGUGUGUGUGUGUGUAUUCCAAAUGCCAGUUGAGAUUUAUCCUUCAUUUCCUCUAUGUCUUGUCUGUGGGGUAUAGGAAUGUGUUUUCGUGUGUGUGUGUGUGUGUGUGUGUGUGUGUGUGUCCCAAGAAGUUCCUCCCACAGCCUACCUGAGUAGUCAUAGUUGGUACAAAGCAUUUCUAGAAACAUCUUUUUUUUCCUUCACUCUUAAAUUUCUUGGAAAACUCAUUUAUGUUGUGGUUAUCUAGAAGUGGAUUUUGGUCCUGUUUCUUGGGGAGAAAUUCAGCAGAAUAGGUCUGUGGACUAUUGUAGCAUGUUAUCUUAAGAAUUUGGGCAAUUGAGCCCAGUGUUGAGUACAGUGUCCCCAAAACACCAUCUUUGUAUCUGUUUGGGAAGAGUGCCAAAAUAAAGACAGUUCUGUGCUGUGCUGCCAAGAGUGCUUAAGUAGAUCUGCGAUUGGGCCCAGGGGUUUAUAGGUAAUCAAAGUAUAUCACUCUUUCUUGUAAAGCCAAUAGAAAUGUCUAAUUUUAAUUUUAAUAAGGUUUUUGACAAAUCAAAAAUGGUAUCUCCUAGAUGACUUGGUCAACAUGUUAAGGUAGUUAGGCAAUUUUUAAAAAAUCUUAAAUGGGUUUAAAUAAGCAAGUUAAGCAGCUCCUAUUAUGAGACUUAUGGUAAGUUCAUUCUGAGGAUACAAAAAGUUAAUCAGACAAGAUUAUGUGCAAGAAACUGGGGCUAUAAGAGGUAUCAGUAGUUUGAGGAGAUGACAAGUACUUCAUGAGAUGUGAGGAAAAUAAGUGUUGGAGGGUUAGCUGCUGAAAGGACAUUGUUAAUGGCGCUUUACUGUCUUGAUUUGAGGUCUGCUGCCAACUAAUACAUAUCAGUUUCUUUCCUGGAGAUUGAAUAAUACAUUAGUAAAUAUUUAGGUUAGAUGCAUUUUAGGACUCUUAACUGUGAAUAAUGGAAAUAUGUCAGAGUUAGUACAUGCCCUAUUAGAAAAUAUCAUGCCUCUAUUUUAGUACUAAAAUAAAUCCUGUUUCUAAAUACGAGACAUCCUGUUUCUAAAUAGGAGGAAAAACUACAGACACAUUACUUCUUGUUAAUAUUACUACUUUGGUCACUCCAACUCUGUCCUCACCAGUGAAUAGACACAGUCUAAGCAGAUCUUAAGAUUUUAGAGCUGGCAUGAUGGCAUUAGACUGUAGCUACUUAGGUGACAGAGGUAGAAGGAUCUUGAGACCAGGAGUUCAAAUGUAGCUUGGGCAAUAUAGCAAGACUCUGUCUCUAAAAAAAGAGGUUUUAAGCUUACGGAAGAUUACUUAAUAUGCUUGAAAUUAGCAUAUAUAAAGAUAUUGCCCAGAUUUCUUUUGAGACUUGUGAAUAACUAAAAUAGUAAUUUUAGAUACAUUUGUUGUUUUCUUCACUUUUGAUGCCUCUGUCAUUCUAAUACUUGUGAACUCUUAACACAACCAUGAAGUGCAUUUCCCUGUGAUUAAGGAUAUAUGUAAACAAAACACAAGGCAAAAUUAAGCAUAGUAAUAAGUGUAAGUGGAGUUCUGUGGCAGAGCAGAAAGGAAUGGUUAAUUACUGGAGUUGAGAAUAAAUAGGUUUAAAGAAAAGAUAGCAUUUGAAAUGAGCCCUGAGAGUGAGUAGAACUUUAAUAGCUAAGAAUGUAAAAUACAGACUUAAGAGAACAAUAUGAAUAAGAACAUAGGAGCCUAGAAGAAAAUACAUAAGUUAUUUGAAGAAUAGUUUAUAAUUUGAUGUGGCUAGAUUCAGAGAAACAAUACAAAAUGAGGUUGCGGGGG